GCUACGGGUGGCAGCAGUGAGGAAUAUUGGUCAAUGGACGAGAGUCUGAACCAGCCAAGUAGCGUGAAGGAUGACUGCCCUAUGGGUUGUAAACUUCUUUUAUAUGGGAAUAAAAUGUUCCACGUGUGGGAUUUUGUAUGUACAAUAUGAAUAAGGAUCGGCUAACUCCGUGCCAGGAGCCGCGGUAAUACGGGGGAUCCGAGCGUUAUCCGGAUUUAUUGGGUUGAAAGGGAGAGUAGGGUGAUGGUUAAGUCAGUUGUGACAGUUUGAGGCUCAAACGUAAAAUUGCAGUGGAAACUGGCAGUCUUGAGUACAGUAGAGGUGGGCGGAAUUCGUGGUGUAGCGGUGAAAUGCUUAGAUAUCACGAAGAACUCCGAUUGCGAAGGCAGUUCACUGGACUGCAACUGACACGGAGGCUCGAAAGUGUGGGUAUCAAACAGGAUUAGAUACCCGGGUAGUC
rnacentral:rRNA from 1 species